GCCGAGCGCUGUGGUGGGUGCCUGUAAUCCCAGCUACUUGGGAGGCUGAGGCAGGAGAAUCACUUGAACCUGGGAGGCAGAGGUUGCAGUGAGCCAAAAUGGGGCCACUGCACUCUAGCCUGGGUGACAGAGUGAGAUUCUGUCUCAA
ensembl:misc_RNA Metazoa_SRP Metazoan signal recognition particle RNA